GCAUGGCACCGUGAUCGUGUGUAUCUACUGAUUGACUAACGAGCCUGCGCCUGGAUUGUAGAUGUCGCUUGUGAUUGGAUAACGAGGCGCAUCCUUGACCUUUAACAGCGGAAGGAAAGCGUAACACUUCCGGGGCCAGUGAUGGUUCCGAAGGGACGCUGUGUGAGGGCACAGAGAACAGAGUUUGCUGUUAUUUCGACGAGGUGCAGAGGAAACAAGAGGAGAUGUGUGGACGUCUCCAUGGUGACCGCUGUGGUGGAGAGGAGGUGGCUGGUGCAGACGAUGUGGAGGCAGGGGAGAUGACGGAUGGUGGUGGUGACGAAUUUGAAGAUGUAGCCACCAGUGACAUGAUAGAGAACCAUAUAUCGGAUGUUGACAAUUAAAUCAGGUCAGUAUCUAAGUGUAGUAUAUAACACAAUACUGUUUUAAAUUGUAAAUAUAAGGGAACAAACCAAUUGCUGUCAGUUGGUGUCUCAGAGAAUAGAGUAAGCGUAAAGAAAUGAUGUUUGCAGAAGAUCAACUUGGAGGAACAGUUACCAGCAGAACCUUCUUCAACGAUAAGGGGUUAAAGAAAAGAAAGGACUGUUUUUGAAACGAUUAUGUUCAAAUGUUCCUCAUUGGAUUAUAACGUUCCUAAUAUGUACUUGCUGUAUAUUGACAUUGACAUGCUAAAAAACUACAAAACUCUGAACCUUUACGUAUAUUUGUGUCUACUGUAAAAUAAAUACCAAUUAAAACAAAUCAUUUAAUAAUUCAUAAAUAAAUUAAUAGAUACAUUAUUUAAACAAAAACAGAAAUAAAAAGAGAACAAAUGAGUUUAUUAAGUUUAAGUUUAUUAAUAACAUUUCAGAUCGUCAGUCACAUCCAUCCACUAGGUAGUAGGUUUCAGGUGCAAAUCCAACAAACUCUAUCAUUUAUUUAUUUAACAGAAAACAAUGACAUAUUUUCACAUGACACUUCACUCCUAAUAUUAUAAGCUAUUAUUACAAUAAACAGUGAAUGUUGGUACAUGUUUGUUGCAAUGAAUUGAGCUGCUCAACAGUUUUUCUGAUUUUCCUCUGGAUGAUGCAACGGACAUUGCCCUUCAGAGAGAAAUCUACUCGUAUCGCAUUCGUCAUUUAAAAGUAUUUUAAAGUAAGAUGAUCUUUCUUCAGUCUCCAAAACUAAACCAAAAAUUGAAACCUCACUCUCAUGGGGUUAUUGGACACUGUGUGAUCAUAGGCUGUGAAUUCAACCUUUUUAUUUUUUUACAUUCCUUGUU